GGGGAUUUAGCUCAGUGGUAGAGCGCUUGCCUAGCAAGCACAAGGCCCUGGGUUCGGUUCUCAGCUCUG
rfam:Rattus norvegicus chromosome X, whole genome shotgun sequence.